CUGAAGCGCGAAAGCGUGGGGAGCGAACAGGAUUAGAUACCCUGGUAGUCCACGCUGUAAACGAUGAGGACUAGAUGUUGGUAGGGGAACCUAUCAGUAUCGAAGCUAACGCGAUAAGUCUUCCGCCUGGGAAGUACGGCCGCAAGGUUGAAACUCAAAUGAAUUGACGGGGGCCCGCACAAGCGGUGGAGCAUGUGGUUUAAUUCGAUGCAACGCGAAGAACCUUACCUACCCUUGACAUCCUGCGAAUCCCGAUGAGAGUUGGGAGUGCCGAAAGGAGCGCAGAGACAGGUGCUGCAUGGCUGUCGUCAGCUCGUGUUGUGAGAUGUUGGGUUAAGUCCCGUAACGAGCGCAACCCUUGUCCUUAGUUGCCAGCGAGUAAAGUUGGGGACUCUAAGGAGACCGCCGGUGAUGAACCGGAGGAAGGCGGGGACGACGUCAAGUCAUCAUGGCCUUUAUGGGUAGGGCUACACACGUGCUACAAUGGGGCGUACAGAGGGUAGCCAACCCGCGAGGGGGAGCCAAUCUCUUAAAGCGUCUCGUAGUCCGG
rnacentral:rRNA from 1 species